GACGAACGCUGGCGGCGUGGAUUAGGCAUGCAAGUCGAACGGUAUCAUCCUUUCGGGGGUGAGAGAGUGGCGAACUGGUGAGUAACACGUAGGUUAUCUACCCUCAAGACGGGGACAACCCAGGGAAACUUGGGCUAAUACCGGAUGUGAGCAACUUUUAGUUGUUUGAAAGGUGGCGUAAGCUGUCGCUUGGGGAUGAGCCUGCGUCUUAUUAGUUAGUUGGUGAGGUAACGGCUCACCUAGGCAAUGAUAGGUAGGCGGCCUUAACGGGUGGUCGCCCACACUGGGAUUGAGAUACGGCCCAGACUCCUACGGGAGGCAGCAGUCGAGAAUAGUCUACAAUGGUCGGAAGACUGAUAGUGCGACGCCGCGUGAACGAUGAAUCCCUUCGGGGUGUAAAGUUCUUUUAUAUGUGAGCAGUGCUUCUUAUAUUAACAGUAUGGGGAGAGAGAUAUUAGCAUAUGAAUAAGCAACGGCUAACUCCGUG
rnacentral:rRNA from 1 species